rnacentral:rRNA from 1 species
CAGUCGCCACGGGAACACGUAGGGUGCAAGCGUUAAUCGGAAUUACUGGGCGUAAAGCGUGCGCAGGCGGUUCGCUAAGACAGAUGUGAAAUCCCCGGGCUUAACCUGGGAACUGCAUUUGUGACUGGCGGGCUAGAGUAUGGCAGAGGGGGGUAGAAUUCCACGUGUAGCAGUGAAAUGCGUAGAGAUGUGGAGGAAUACCGAUGGCGAAGGCAGCCCCCUGGGCCAAUACUGACGCUCAUGCACGAAAGCGUGGGGAGCAAACAGGAUUAGAUACCCCCGUAGUCCCUGUCUCUUAUAA